rnacentral:lncRNA from 1 species
GUUCUAAUAGCUGCAAUAUAAAGGGCCAUGCAGUGAGCUCUGCACUUGAUGCUGUGUGUGUGUGUGUGUGUGUGUGUGUGUGUUUGUGUGGGUGUGUAUGUGUGGGUGUAUGGGUGUAUAUACAUGUAUAUGUUCAUGUGUGAGUGCUUUUAAUAUGCACACAAAUGUGCACAUAUAUGAAUGUAAAUGACAGAACAGAGGUCCAUACUGGACAUCUUCCUCUGUCUCCCUCUACUUUCUUUGAGACAGGGUCUCUCACUGAAGCUGAAGCUCCCUGACUGGGCAUGCCUAGCUGGGUCCUACCAGGCCACCGAUAAGCCACAUAUUUCCUUCUGUCUGAACCUCCCUAUGUUAGGAUUACAGACAAGCACCACUGGGCUCUUCAACAUAUAUGAAAUUGGCCUGAUUCUCUUCCUUCAUCUUCCAGGAAAGCCAUGCUAAGAAAAUAGCACCUGGUACUAUACAAAGAAAUAAGAUAUUUCCAACUGGAUGAGGUAGGUAGACCCCAAAGAGCAAAAGGAACAUAUGACAAUAAUGAUACCAGUGACACUUUCAAAUGUGUCCACAGCAGAGCUAAGAUGUGAAAGGGCACUAUGCCAAUAGCAGUGACUUGAAGGCAAGGUGGCCAUGUUUGUUGAUUGGUUUUUAAAAUGCACAACCUACCCCUGUUGAUAAGCUAUCAUAUAGGGACAGUAGCCAGGAGCAAUGAUACAAGACAGAGAGUGACUUGUAGAGACAACCCCUUAUCCCCAUCCUACUGGAGAAAAUAAAGUUGUUGAGGAACAACUUUGGAAGAAGUAUUGAGAGCAGAGACAGAGUAAAAGAGAGGGAAGAAUGGGCUAUUGUCUGGGUCUUAGGCAAAUCUGUCAAGGAGAGAGGGACCUGAGUGUGUGUGUGUGUGGGGGGGGACUUGGGGUCAUUGUUGAGGACAGUAAAGCACUUAUCACAUAAUCCUGUCUCAUCCUGGGGAAGGAGUGUUCACGUGAGACAGAGGACUCUGGAAAUGUCUGGUUAGCAUGAAAAGACUGAUGACCAGGAUGAGAGAGACCGCAGACAUUUGAAUGAGGCAGUAGACCUGUCCCAUUUCAGAGGAUAGAACCAGGUCCUAAUUCCACCAGGAGAUCUCCCCCAGCAUGGAAAUUUCCAGUAACUAAUACUGUCCUGCAGUAGGUUCUCACUCGUCCUGGCUUCCAUCACCUGCCAAGGAUAUUAUUCAGGAGAUUUGGAACACUUUGUGGGCUGACUUCUUCAAUCCCUCCUGAUAUUAAGGCUUUAUAAGCAUGUAAUGUGUGAGGUGUCCCAACCAGAAGAAAGCCAGUCUCACCUUUCCCACACGUCUUCCUACAUUCUGCUACCAGGAUACUGACUAAUAGUUUUCAAUGAGAUCUAUGCAGGUCAGGAAUUGAGAAGACAAUGUCUUUAUUUCUUGGAGGAUUCUCUUAGGGUUGGCAGAAGCCAUGUACUAGCUCUAGAGCAAGGCUCAUGAUCUAUGUAGCAGACAGGAUGUGGAUAUGGGUGUGCUCACUAUAGAGAGGGUUUCCUUCUGUGUUCAUGUCAUUUUUCCUCAAUGUGGAUUCAGAUCAGACCCUAGCUGGGUGACUAGAGGACCCUCUGUUCUCACAGGAUUUGGGGGCCUCUUAUGUGUUCUGUACUCAUGAGCAUCAUUUGUAUCCUGUAUCUUCUUUUCUUAUGCUUCCUGCAUAGGAAUUGGCUCUUUCUUUCAAGGAACCUAUUAUUCUAUUUUGGUAGUUCUCAUUUGGGGAUGGUUUUGCCUCUCAGGGCAUAUUUGACAGUGUCCAGAGGCAUCUUGAUUGUCGUGACUGGAAUGGGGGUGUUGCUGGCAUCUGGUGGAGAGCCAGGAUGCUGCACAAAGUCUGACUCUUAGGACAGCCCUUCACAGCAAAGAAUUAUCAAGCCCAAAAUGUCAAUAUUCCUCAGGCUGAGAAACUCUGGUCUAUUUUUGUCUCCCUUAGAAAUCAGCUGCCAUCAAUGCAUUCUGUAAAACCUCAGAUGCCUCCUCUUAUUUCCUAAGUUAAGAAUGGUUGCCUGGCUGUUCUGCCUCUUUGAACUGCACACCCACCCACCCCUUUUUCAUGCUGAAGCAAUAAGGGACAUAUUUAACUCUCAUUGGCCAGAAAAAUCGCUUCUUGGUUCGGGUCCAAACAAGAACCAGAUCUCUCCUUGGGUGAAGGCAGAGAUGUCACAGCUUGCUGAGAAACAUCACAGGGCAUUUCCUCGUGGCAGCUGCCCUGGGCCAAGGAACUGGUAGAGGACAAGCCCCAGAUGCCUCAGUGUGUGCCCUUCACUUGCUUUUGAGUAAGGUCUUUCAAGAAUUGAACAAUGGGACUCAACCAUGAAGGGUUCCUGCUUCCUUUCCAAGCCACAGGGAGACCAAGGCUAUAACUCUCAUUCACAAGCAACUUCAGCUCGCACUCUGGCUAGGUUUCUCCUACUCGCCUGGCCUUCUGAGAAGUCACACAGAGCACAUGCCUACUUAUGCUGUAUCCCAAACUAGGCUGCGGUUUUCAUUAAGUUAGAUCGUGAGUUACCCUUUAGUGCUUCCUCUAAGUCCUCCACCCAUGAAGCAGCCUGAUGGAAGUCCCCCUUGGUAGGCCAUGGCUUAGCAUCGGGAGGUGGUCUUAUACAGACAGCCCAGGGUGAAGCCCCCCUUCUUAAACCUUACAUCUACAGGCUGGGCAGCCUUAGGGAAUUCUUUCAAAUUCUUAGACCAUAGGUUUUUGCCUUGAUCUCAGUGAAAUGGCUAAGUGACAGACCUUAGAUUUCCUAAUCUCCAAAAAUGAAGACAGAUACCUUUUCCUUGCUGGAAAUCUAUUAAAAAAC